GAUGAAGAACGUAGCGAAAUGCGAUAAGUAAUGUGAAUUGCAGAAUUCAGUGAAUCAUCGAAUCUUUGAACGCACCUUGCGCCCUUUGGCUAUUCCGAAGGGCAUGCCUGUUUGAGUAUCAUGAACAUCUCAACUCCUCACGGUUCGUCCGUGACGAGCUUGGACUUUGGGGGUCUUGCCGGCCUGCGGGUCGGCUCCUCUCAAAUGAAUCAGCUUGCCGGUGUUUGGUGGCGUCACAGGUGUGAUAAAUAUCUACGCUUGUGGUUUUCCGCCAGGUAACCUCCAGCGAUGGGGGUUCACUGGAGCUCACGAAUGUCUCUCCUCGGUGAGGACAGCUCUUUGAACGUUUGAUCUCAAAUCAGGUAGGGCUACCCGCUGAACUUAAGCAUAUCAAUAAGCGGAGGA
rnacentral:misc_RNA from 1 species